rnacentral:tRNA from 1 species
UGGGGUGUCGCCAAGUGGCAAGGCACCAGGUUUUGAUCCUGGCAUUCGGAGGUUCGAGUCCUCCCACCCCAGCCA